rnacentral:rRNA from 1 species
UGGGGAAUAUUGCACAAUGGGCGCAAGCCUGAUGCAGCCAUGCCGCGUGUAUGAAGAAGGCCUUCGGGUUGUAAAGUACUUUCAGCGGGGAGGAAGGUGUUGAGGCUAAUAACCUCAGCAAUUGACGUUACCCGCAGAAGAAGCACCGGCUAACUCCGUGCCAGCAGCCGCGGUAAUACGGAGGGUGCAAGCGUUAAUCGGAAUUACUGGGCGUAAAGCGCACGCAGGCGGUCUGUCAAGUCGGAUGUGAAAUCCCCGGGCGCAACCUGGGAACUGCAUUCGAAACUGGCAGGCUAGAGUCUUGUAGAGGGGGGUAGAAUUCCAGGUGUAGCGGUGAAAUGCGUAGAGAUCUGGAGGAAUACCGGUGGCGAAGGCGGCCCCCUGGACAAAGACUGACGCUCAGGUGCGAAAGCGUGGGGAGCAAACA